rnacentral:rRNA from 1 species
AUGUGUUCCAAGUCUUUAGAAAUUUCCAAGCACUCGUUGAACGAAAAUUUGAUAGAAAAAUCAUCGCCGUCCAAUCUGAUUGGGGGGGUGGGGGGCGAAUAUGAGAAGUUGAACACUUUCUUCCAAGAAAUUGGAAUCUCUCAUCAUGUGUCUUGUCCUCACGCCCAUCAACAGAAUGGGUCGGCCGAACGUAAGCAUCGGCAUAUUAUAGAGGUUGGUCUAGCUCUUCUUGCGGGUGCCUCCAUGCCCCUCAAAUUUUGGGAUGAGGAGUACCUCACUGCCGUGCACAUCAUAAACAUGCUUCCUAGUCGUGUUAUCAAUAAUGAAACCCCCAUGGAACGGCUUCUCAACAUCAAACCGGACUACACCUCUCUUCGUGUGUUUGGAUGUGCUUGCUGGCCGAAUCUUUGA